rnacentral:rRNA from 1 species
UGGGGAAUAUUGCACAAUGGGCGCAAGCCUGAUGCAGCAAUGCCGCGUGAGUGAAGACGGCCUUAGGGUUGUAAAACUCUUUCGCUAGGGAAGAUAAUGACGGUACCUAGUAAAGAAGUCCCGGCUAACUCCGUGCCAGCGAGCCGCGGUAAUACGGAGGGGACUAGCGUUGUUCGGAAUUACUGGGCGUAAAGAGUUCGUAGGCGGACUAGCAAGUUAGAGGUGAAAUCCCAGGGCUCAACCUUGGAACUGCCUUUAAAACUGCUAGUCUAGAGACCGGAAGAGGUUAGGGGAAUACCUAGUGUAGAGGUGAAAUUCGUAGAUAUUAGGUGGAACACCAGUGGCGAAGGCGCCUAACUGGUCCGGUACUGACGCUGAGGAACGAAAGCGUGGGGAGCAAACAGGAUUAGAUACCCUGGUAGUCCACGCCGUAAACGAUGAGUGCUAGUCGUCGGCAGGCAUGCCU